rnacentral:lncRNA from 1 species
GCAAUUUAUAAUCUUUAUUUAUUUAAAGGGAUCUUUAUUUGAUGACAGUCUACCAGACCCAGCGUGUAGUGACAAAAAAGAACAUGUUAUAUGUCAUGAUGUACACGAAUCCGCCUGCGCAAAAGAAGCCCACGCCAUCUGCAAUGAAAAAAGGUUUAAAUCUGAACUAACGUUUAUCCUGCCCGACACAGGAUGUCGUAAAUACUGCAAAUGCGAAGCUGAUGGUGUGCGACCUAAUGGCGCAGCGUUAUACGAUUGGAAAGAAAAGAGUUGCCCUAUAGGAAAGUUAUUUGAUGAGAGUAAAGGAAAAUGCAAACUCGAACGCAGAGUAACAUGUGAAAGUUAAACGGUUGUUCUGAACAAAUAAGAUACAAUCUUCAAAAAUUUAUCUUUCAAAUUAAUUUAUGUUUAUUCAAACAUUUACUGUUGAUUAAAUAUGCAACAACAUAUGUAUAAAUAAUGCUUUGA